rnacentral:rRNA from 1 species
UGGCUUCCGGAGCUAACGCGUUAAGUCGACCGCCUGGGGAGUACGGCCGCAAGGUUAAAACUCAAAUGAAUUGACGGGGGCCCGCACAAGCGGUGGAGCAUGUGGUUUAAUUCGAUGCAACGCGAAGAACCUUACCUGGUCUUGACAUCCACGGAAGUUUUCAGAGAUGAGAAUGUGCCUUCGGGAACCGUGAGACAGGUGCUGCAUGGCUGUCGUCAGCUCGUGUUGUGAAAUGUUGGGUUAAGUCCCGCAACGAGCGCAACCCUUAUCCUUUGUUGCCAGCGGUCCGGCCGGGAACUCAAAGGAGACUGCCAGUGAUAAACUGGAGGAAGGUGGGGAUGACGUCAAGUCAUCAUGGCCCUUACGACCAGGGCUACACACGUGCUACAAUGGCGCAUACAAAGAGAAGCGACCUCGCGAGAGCAAGCGGACCUCAUAAAGUGCGUCGUAGUCCGGAUUGGAGUCUGCAACUCGACUCCAUGAAGUCGGAAUCGCUAGUAAUCGUGGAUCAGAAUGCCACGGUGAAUACGUUUCCCGGGCCUUGUACACACCGCCCGUCACACCAUGGGAGUGGGUUGCAACAAGAAGUAGGUAGCUUAACCUUCGGGAGGGCGCUUACCACUUUGUGAUUCAUGACUGGGGUGAAGUCGUAAC